rnacentral:rRNA from 1 species
GGCGGACGGGUGAGUAAUGCUUGGGAACUUGCCUUUGCGAGGGGGAUAACAGUUGGAAACGACUGCUAAUACCGCAUAAUGUCUACGGACCAAACGGGGCUUCUGCUCCGGCGCAAAGAGAGGCCCAAGUGAGAUUAGCUAGUUGGUAAGGUAACGGCUUACCAAGGCGACGAUCUCUAGCUGUUCUGAGAGGAAGAUCAGCCACACUGGGACUGAGACACGGCCCAGACUCCUACGGGAGGCAGCAGUGGGGAAUAUUGCACAAUGGGGGAAACCCUGAUGCAGCCAUGCCGCGUGUGUGAAGAAGGCCUUCGGGUUGUAAAGCACUUUCAGUUGUGAGGAAAAGUUAGUAGUUAAUACCUGCUAGCCGUGACGUUAACAACAGAAGAAGCACCGGCUAACUCCGUGCCAGCAGCCGCGGUAAUACGGAGGGUGCGAGCGUUAAUCGGAAUUACUGGGCGUAAAGCGCACGCAGGCGGUUUGUUAAGCUAGAUGUGAAAGCCCCGGGCUCAACCUGGGAUGGUCAUUUAGAACUGGCAGACUAGAGUCUUGGAGAGGGGAGUGGAAUUCCAGGUGUAGCGGUGAAAUGCGUAGAUAUCUGGAGGAACAUCAGUGGCGA